UAGGGAAUCUUCGGCAAUGGGGGGAACCCUGACUGAGCAACGCCGCGUGAGUGAAGAAGGUUUUCGGAUCGUAAAGCUCUGUUGUUAAGGAAGAACGAGUGUGAGAAUGGAAAGUUCAUACUGUGACGGUACUUAACCAGAAAGGGACGGCUAACUACGUGCCAGCAGCCGCGGUAAUACGUAGGUCCCGAGCGUUGUCCGGAUUUAUUGGGCGUAAAGCGAGCGCAGGCGGUUAGAUAAGUCUGAAGUUAAAGGCAGUGGCUCAACCAUUGUAGGCUAUGGAAUCUGUUUAACUUGAGUGCAGAAGGGGAGGGUGGAAUUCCAUGUGUAGCGGUGGAAUGCGUAGAUAUAUGGAGGAACACCGGUGGCGAAAGCGGCUCUCUGGUAUGUAACUGACGCUGAGGCUCGAAAGCGUGGGGAGCGAACAGG
rnacentral:rRNA from 1 species